rnacentral:rRNA from 3 species
GAUGGCAGAGAGGUCACACCCGUUCCCAUACCGAACACGGAAGUUAAGCUCUCUAGCGCCGAUGGUAGUUGGGACCUUGUCCCUGUGAGAGUAGGACGUCGC